rnacentral:rRNA from 1 species
UAGGGAAUCUUCCGCAAUGGGCGAAAGCCUGACGGAGCAACGCCGCGUGAGUGAAGAAGGAUUUCGGUUCGUAAAGCUCUGUUGUUAGGGAAGAAUGAUUGUAUAGUAACUAUAUACAGUAGAGACGGUACCUAACCAGAAAGCCACGGCUAACUACGUGCCAGCAGCCGCGGUAAUACGUAGGUGGCAAGCGUUGUCCGGAAUUAUUGGGCGUAAAGCGCGCGCAGGUGGUUUAAUAAGUCUGAUGUGAAAGCCCACGGCUCAACCGUGGAGGGUCAUUGGAAACUGUUAAACUUGAGUGCAGGAGGGAAAAGUGGAAUUCCUAGUGUAGCGGUGAAAUGCGUAGAGAUUAGGAGGAACACCAGUGGCGAAGGCGGCUUUUUGGCCUGUAACUGACACUGAGGCGCGAAAGCGUGGGGAGCAAACAGAAUUAGAUACCCUGGUAGUCCACGCCGUAAACGAUGAGUGCUAAGUGUUGGUCUCAUAAGAGAUCAGUGCUGCAGCUAACGCAUUAAGCACUCCGCCUGGGGAGUACGACCGCAAGGUUG